rnacentral:pre_miRNA from 1 species
GUACUCUAGGGACCUGACCCAAAGCCCAUUAAAGUCAUUGGGAAUCUUUCCAUUGACUUCAAAGGGCUUUGGAUCAUGCCCUAUAUUC